rnacentral:rRNA from 1 species
UGGGGGAUAUUGCACAAUGGGCGAAAGCCUGAUGCAGCGACGCCGCGUGGGGGAUGAAGGCUUUCGGGUUGUAAACCUCUUUCGCUAUCGAACAAGGCCCGCUUAGGGUGGGUUGAGGGUAGGUGGAGAAGAAGCGCCGGCUAACUACGUGCCAGCAGCCGCGGUAAUACGUAGGGCGCGAGCGUUGUCCGGAAUUAUUGGGCGUAAAGGGCUUGUAGGCGGCUUGUUGCGCCUGCUGUGAAAACGCGGGGCUUAACUUCGCGCGUGCAGUGGGUACGGGCAGGCUUGAGUGUGGUAGGGGUGACUGGAAUUCCAGGUGUAGCGGUGGAAUGCGCAGAUAUCUGGGGGAACACCGAUGGCGAAGGCAGGUCACUGGGCCAUUACUGACGCUGAGGAGCGAAAGCAUGGGUGGCGAACAGG